CUUGUAGGGGAUCUUCGGGACCCGGGGUCCCAAAGAAAAAAUGAUGUCCCAGCCAUGAGGUGAACACUUGCUUCACUGAGGGUGUCUGUGCACUGCCUUACAAUGUGAGAUACCAGCCCCCACCUCUAUUCCCCUGCCUCAGGCACUGCAGCUCAUUCUCUUGAUGGGAUGAGGAUGCAGCCCACCCAGGAGAUGACUACGUAAUAUCCACCAUGUCCUCAUCAUCUACAGUGAGCUCAUGGUGUUCGGAACUAACCACUCUCCUGAAAACCAGCCUGCACAGCAGGCUACGUUCAGCGAAGACACACAUUCCCUAAAGCAGCUCAGACGUCCCCCUGGGUCUUCAAAGGCUGUCUCUUUUCUCUUUGUACUGAUAACAUGUUGCCUUCUGGUCUGCAGCCUGCUCAUCAGCCCCAUGGAGUGAACUCGAUAAACAUGUGCUACGAAGAGAUUCUUCUUCAUGAAGAAGCUUUGAACUCACACAAGUUCUCUAAGCAAGCAGCUGAAAGCGUGACUCCUUGGCAAUAGAGGAGCAUCCUUGGGAAGGAAGCACCGAGUUCUCCAGAAGAAUUAAAGGUGACCCAUCGUUGAUUGCUGAGUUGACCAUUUAAGCUGAAACUACCUAAGGAAGUAUAACUGAUGUAAGGGCCAUUUGGUCCAUCUUCUACAUGUG
rnacentral:lncRNA from 1 species